UACAGAGGGUGCAAACGUUGCUCGGAAUUAUUGGGCGUAAAGCGCAUGUAGGCGGCAUAGUAAGUUCACUGUGGAAGCCCUUGGCUCAACCAAGGAAGUGCAGUGAAAACUGCUAAGCUCGAGUUCUGAAGAGGGUCGCGGAAUGGCCAGUGUAGAGGUGAAAUUCGUAGAUAUUGGCUAGAACACCAGUGGCGAAGGCGGCGACCUGGGAAGAUACUGACGCUGAGAUGCGAAAGCGUGGGGAGCAAACAGG
rnacentral:rRNA from 1 species